rnacentral:pre_miRNA from 1 species
CUCAAUGGAGACUCACUCAACUUGGUGGUGAUGCUUAUAUAUAGAGCCGUCACAACCUCCUUGAGUGAGUCACUAGAGAG